UACGUAGGGUGCGAGCGUUGUCCGGAAUUACUGGGCGUAAAGAGCUCGUAGGCGGUUUGUCGCGUCUGCCGUGAAAGCCCGGGGCUUAACUCCGGGUCUGCGGUGGAUACGGGCAGACUAGAGGCAGGUAGGGGGAGAACGGAAUUCCUGGUGUAGCGGUGAAAUGCGCAGAUAUCAGGAGGAACACCGAUGGCGAAGGCAGGUCUCUGGGCCAUAACUGACGCUGAGAAGCGAAAGCAUGGGGAGCGAAACAGG
rnacentral:rRNA from 1 species